rnacentral:misc_RNA from 1 species
CUAAAGACAAGAGAUCCCGG